AAAAGCACUAUCUUUCCCUGUGUCUGGCCUCUGGCAUUGACAAGUGACAAUGAGACAGAGGUUGAUCUGUGGUUUAACCGUAGACUGAAGCCCUACUUGAAGUUCCUGAACAAAGAUCUAAUAGGAUCAAAAGACAUACUGAGCGCAUCUUGCCAAUCAUACAAGAAAAUGGUCGGUGUUUUAGGUAGCAAUUUCAGCUUUAAUGGUUCUCAGAUUACCACUAAGGAUGUGUACGCCACCAUCAAGACAUAUCUGACAGCAGACACUGAAGCAAAAUGCUACAACCCUUCUGACGCACGAUUGAAUUCAACUGCGUGGUUUGUCAACAACAUUGGUGUAUUUAUAACUUUAUUGACUCUGGACGAUCUCUACUCUUUCGGCCCUGAGAAAACGAUGAAACUCUUUGCUGUGAACCCUGAUAACUUAAAGCUGUUCAAUCAAAAGGCACUUCCGAAGAAAGUCAUCAGCCGCUACACUGAACUCGUCUUUCUACAAAACCCCAGCUUUAAUCUUAUUGAGUA
rnacentral:lncRNA from 1 species